GACGAACGCUGGCGGCGUGCUUAACACAUGCAAGUCGAACGGAAAGGCCCUGCUUUUGUGGGGUGCUCGAGUGGCGAACGGGUGAGUAACACGUGAGUAACCUGCCCUUGACUUUGGGAUAACUUCAGGAAACUGGGGCUAAUACCGGAUAGGAGCUCCUGCUGCAUGGUGGGGGUUGGAAAGUUUCGGCGGUUGGGGAUGGACUCGCGGCUUAUCAGCUUGUUGGUGGGGUAGUGGCUUACCAAGGCUUUGACGGGUAGCCGGCCUGAGAGGGUGACCGGCCACCUUGGGCCUGCGGUACGGCCCAGACUCCUACGGGAGGCAGCAGUGGGGAAUAUUGCACAAUGGGCGGAAGCCUGAUGCAGCAACGCCGCGGUCGGGAUGACGGCCUUUGGGGUGUAAACCGCUUUCGCCUGUGACGAAGCGUUAGUGACGGUAAUGGGUAAAGAAGCACCGGCUAACUACGUG
rnacentral:rRNA from 1 species